UGGGGAAUAUUGCACAAUGGGCGCAAGCCUGAUGCAGCCAUGCCGCGUGUAUGAAGAAGGCCUUCGGGUUGUAAAGUACUUUCAGCGGGGAGGAAGGGAGUAAAGUUAAUACCUUUGCUCAUUGACGUUACCCGCAGAAGAAGCACCGGCUAACUCCGUGCCAGCAGCCGCGGUAAUACGGAGGGUGCAAGCGUUAAUCGGAAUUACUGGGCGUAAAGCGCACGCAGGCGGUUUCUUAAGUCUGAUGUGAAAGCCCCCGGCUCAACCGGGGAGGGUCAUUGGAAACUGGGAGACUUGAGUGCAGAAGAGGAGAGUGGAAUUCCAUGUGUAGCGGUGAAAUGCGUAGAUAUAUGGAGGAACACCAGUGGCGAAGGCGGCUCUCUGGUCUGUAACUGACGCUGAGGCUCGAAAGCGUGGGGAGCAAACAGG
rnacentral:rRNA from 1 species